rnacentral:lncRNA from 1 species
CUUCCUGGUUGCUUUAUUUAAUUUUCUGUAGUCUAUACACAUCCGUCAUCCUCCUUCCAUCCGUUUUGCUACAUGUUCGCCUCUAUCGUUUGGUACGACUGUGAUGCCUCCCUUUUUAGGUACUACAUGCAUAGGGCUCACCCACUUACUAUCCGAGAUCUGGUAUAUUAUACCUGCCUCAAGUAACUUAAGAACAUCUUU